rnacentral:rRNA from 1 species
GCUUGUCUCAAAGAUUAAGCCAUGCAUGUCUUAGUGUAAAUAACUCUUAUGAAACUGCGAAUGGCUCAUUAAAUCAGUUAUCGUUUAUUUGAUGGUCCCUUACUACAUGGAUAACCGUAGUAAUUCUAGAGCUAAUACAUGCACAAAGGCCCGACUCACGAAGGGCUGUAUUUAUUAGAUUUAAAGCCGACAUCUUUUGGUGAUUCAUAAUAACUGUGCGAAUCGUAUUGGGCACUUGCUGCCGACGAUGGAUCAUUCAAAUUUCUGACUUAUUAACUUUCGAUGGUAAGGUAGUGGCUUACCAUGGUCGCCAUGAGUAACGGAGGAUCAGGGUUCGAUUCCGGAGAGGGGGCCUGAGAAAUGGCCACCACAUCCAAGGAAGGCAGCAGG